GGGAAAUACACCAUUAGGAUACAGGUCACAUAUUGGAACUGAGGGAGGGUCUGUUUGAACUUUUGGUCCUCUCUUCUUCUUCUUCUUUUUCUUCUUCUUUCCAGUUGCUCCAUCUCCAUCGCCAUCUCCAUCUUCAUCAUCUUCAUCUCUUUCUUUAUCUUCCAAUGCUGAUCUUUCCAACUGUCUUGCUACUUCAUCCACUGAGGCUCCUGAUUCUUUAUCAGGUUCCUGUUCCCCUGCUGCAGAAGGCCCUUUGCUCUUCUUCUUCUUUCGUCUUUUUUUCUUGGCUGCUUCCUCAGCCGUAGAGGCAGCUCCUUCUUCCCUGUCGUCUGGAUCCAGGUCGCCAUUCAGGUGGCUCCCGGAGGCCGCUACCUCCUCCACACCCGCC
rnacentral:lncRNA from 1 species